GGGUUCGUAGUUCACCUGGGAGAACACCUGACUUGCACUCAGGAGGUAGUCGGUUCGAGUCCGAUCGAAUCCA
rnacentral:tRNA from 1 species